GUUGACCUCGGAUCAGGUAGGAAUACCCGCUGAACUUAAGCAUAUCAAUAAGCGGAGGAAAAGAAACCAACAGGGAUUGCCCCAGUAACGGCGAGUGAAGCGGCAACAGCUCAAAUUUGAAAUCUGGCCCCAGGCCCGAGUUGUAAUUUGCAGAGGAUGCUUUUGGCGCGGUGCCUUCCGAGUUCCCUGGAACGGGACGCCAUAGAGGGUGAGAGCCCCGUACGGUUGGACACCAAGCCUUUGUAAAGCUCCUUCGACGAGUCGAGUAGUUUGGGAAUGCUGCUCUAAAUGGGAGGUACAUUUCUUCUAAAGCUAAAUAUUGGCCAGAGACCGAUAGCGCACAAGUAGAGUGAUCGAAAGAUGAAAAGCACUUUGGAAAGAGGGUUAAACAGCACGUGAAAUUGUUAAAAGGGAAGCGCUUGUGACCAGACUUGCGUCCGGUGAAUCACCCAGCUCUCGCGGCUGGGGCACUUCGCCGGCACAGGCCAGCAUCAGCUUGCCGUCGGGGACAAAAGCUUCAGGAACGUGGCUCCUCUCGGGGAGUGUUAUAGCCUGUUGCAUAAUACCCUUCGGCGGGCUGAGGUACGCGCUCCGCAAGG
rnacentral:rRNA from 1 species